CACCAUCUUUGACAUUAUUACGUGAUUUGUUGUGAAUAUUGAAGAAAAAUUCAUUACAGACCUACAGUUUUGAAUAUGCUUUUUUUUUCAUGGCGAAAUAUUGUAAUGAAUUCGGAGAAAAAAGACAGUUUCCAUACAAUGAUAAUAUUUAUUAAUAAAGGGAGAUGUGAGGUAAACAUCAACGUGAAAGCAACACCAUCACGCCCCUCCCCCUCCAAACAAAACAACAUCGGAUUCCAGAAAGCUACCAACAUACGAUCCUCAUCAAUAUAUACAGAUGUUUAUACAAUAUGUCAAGCCUAAAAACUCCUAGAGUAUAAAAAUCUUUUGAAAAAUUUAACUGAGAUUAUUUAUGAACGAUAUGCAAUCAUUUCUUUAUUGUCCAAAUUUAAAAUAUGAGAACCGACAAUCACCGACAAGGUUCCUGACAUGCGACAGCCACAUGAAUAUGUAAACUGGGUAAAUGCAAAAUCAACUAUUUUUUAAACAAGAUUUCGUUUUCUUUGCAAGUAAAACUAUCAUACCUCAUACACACUAAUUACUGACUUCCGAACAAGCGGUAUAACUUAUAUUUUAUUACGUAUCGUACAUUGCUUGUUUCAUAAUAAAAAAAAAUGGCCAACUUAAAAACAAGUCACUUGUUUUAGAGAGGAAUAAAUCGUCCUUUGUAAAAAUCACUCUGAUUCAAACAAAAAAUGAUCGCUGAAACUUCUGUAACAUUGCUUAAUUUCUUGAUUGACAUCAUAUGUGUUGCGUUUGGAGGACGUGUUUUUCAACAAACAAUUGGCAACUGUGAUCUUCAUAUUGCUAUAAAAAUGAUGUCCUGUCACUAACUAAUUCCAAUAUUGGUGACUAUGUUGAACGCAUCUAUCCUAUCAAAUAUGAAAUAAAGGAUACAUCAGAUACA